GGGUACCUGGCAGCACAGGUAGGUGGUGAGCGGGGUCUGAAAUAGGGACCUUGGUACUCUCACUAGGCUGUGCUCCCUCAGCUCAGGGGGGCCAUCUAAUGAACACAGAUGUGCCAAGUGGCCUGAGGUUAUUUUAAAGUCAGUGGUGAUCACAGUGGUAAUCGCCGUUCCUAUUGUUAUUUUUAGUCCUAAGAUCUGACCCAGUAUGGAAAGAGGUUGAACUUGGGAGUCAAGGCCUUGGGUUCAGUUUAAGUUCUCCACUUAUAAGAGGUAAGGACUUUGUCUUUUGACCCCAGUUUAUCCCAAAUGCUUCCAAACACAUAUUUUCACUGACUUUCCAAAAAAGAAAAAUAAAAUGAAAACUCUGUAAGGAUGGUAAAGCUUGGGCCAUCACAUGGCAACCCACUCCAGUAUUCUUGCCUGGAGAAUCCCUAUGGACAGAGGAGCCUGGUGGGCUACAGUCCAUAGGCCGCUGUAAGCUGUCCAAAGAGUUGGACACGACCUAAGCGACUGAGCACAUAAGGACAAUAAAGCUUGGGCCACCAGUCCCAUUUCAUGGAGGCAAAUUUAGGUGAUUUGCCCAAAGCGAUCAAGUCAGUAGGGGGCUUCCCUGGUGGCCCAGAUGGUAAAAAAUAUCUGCAUGCAAUGCAGAAGACCCUGGUUCAGUCCCUGGCUUGGGAAGAUCUGCUGGAGAAGAGCAGAGCAACCCACUCCAGCAUUCUUGCCUGGAGAGAUCCAUGGACAGUGGAGCCUGGUGGUCUACAGUCCGUGAGAUCACAAAGAGUCGGACACAACCGAGUGGCUGACACUUUCACUUUCCGUGCUCGCCUUUCUGAGCUCCAGAGAUGCUUCUGCUCCCAGCUUUCCUCCCCAGAGGCCCCCAGACCAGAGACCCCCAGGACUCCAUGGGAGGUGACCAUUGCCUCUACUUCCCCUUCUAGAUGCUGCUCUUGCCUGUCUCAGAGCCUGUGGCCUCACCCUUGAGCCCUGGUGCAGAAGGCAUCCUUUCCAGGGCCCCAGGUAUUUUUGAUCAUUUGUGUUUAUGGGACCUGGAAUGGGGCAGAGCUCAGUGGGCCAUCUGUGUGUGUUUUUUUUUUUUUUUUUCCUUUUUCUUAGACAACCAGCUGGGAUUGCCCGAAAUUCCAGGUUGUGUGUUGUCUACUCCAAAUUGGCACUUGCCAAGAGCAUUGCCAAUGACUGAACAACAAGGGCAUUUGCCAUCUGCCUCUAUGCAGGAAAAAGACAGAAUUUAAGGAACUGUCUCCAACCUGGAUGGAAGGACCUUUUAAUCAUACUCUUCACUAGCUCAUGCACAGUGAAAUUAAAGGGAAAGUGACUCUUGGAUUAAUUCCCACUUCCAAAGGCCCCUACACCAGACUGGUCUAUAGAGAGGAGUGCUGACCUCAAUCUCACCUUAAAAUGAUGCUCAAACAGAGGAAAGUGCACUACACUGGGAUGAGAAGACGGCAUCGAGGGUAGACAGCUCGCCUAAGAUGCUGGACCUGAUUCAUGCGAUCAUUUAUAAUGCUUUCUUGAUUUCUUGGACCUCUGCGUAUCAAUCAAACAUUUUCUAUCAUGGACAUGAUUCCAUGCUAGUUUAAGACUCAAUCCAAUUGUUGGGUUGUGACCAAUGACCUGUGUCUAGUACUUCUGGGUUACCUUGGUGGAUUUCUCCCCUCCAGGACUCUGAUUGGAUACCCACCCUAGGAAAUUUAUUUUAGAAGAGAGUUUAGUUCUGUUCUAAGAGUUGGACUGUGAAGAAGGCUGAGCGCCGAAGAAGUGAUGCUUUUGAACUGUGGUGUUGGAGAAGACUCUUGAGAGUCACUUGGACUGCAAGGAGAUCCAACCAGUCCAUUCUAAAGGAGAUCAGCCCUGGGAUUUCUUUGGAAGGACUGAUGCUAAAGCUGAAACUCCAGUACUUUGGCCACCUCAUGCGAAGAGGUGACUCAUUGGAAAAGACUCUGAUGCUGGGAGGGAUUGGGGGCAAGAGGAGAAGGGGACGACAGAGGAUGAGAUGGCAGGAUGGCAUCACUGACUCGAUGGACGUGAGUCUGAGUAAACUCCGGGAGUUGGUGAUGGACAGGGAGGCUUGGCGUGCUGCGAUUCAUGGGCUCGCAAAGAGUCGGACACGACUGAGUGACUGAUCUGAUCUGAUCUGAUCUAUUCAAGAUAUUACUAGAAGGCAUUCUCUCACCCGUCCAGUUAAUAAUACCUGCUCUGACUCUGGCCAUAGAUUUAAGUUUUCUCUUAGGGACACUCAAACUCAAUCAGAGUGACAAGCUGAGUCUCAAUAAAAAAAACCUGUAACCUCUCA
rnacentral:lncRNA from 1 species